rnacentral:rRNA from 1 species
AUGCAAGGACGUGAGGGCUUGCCACUUCCUAGGCUAGCUCACUACUCGGACACGUUCAUGAGACUACAGGUCAAGAAGCAUGCAGCGAGGAACGGGGUGGAUGCUGGCUUUGAGGUAUCAGAUGUGCCUAGAUCUCCGGCAUUCAAUGUUGCUUCUGGGAGUGCAGCUCUAGCCCAACCGUUGAACACACCAAGCCCUGGUGUGCAUGCUACGGCUGCCGGAUUUGGCAUGGCCCAGGACAAGGAGGUGGAUCCGCAGGUGUGUUACAACUUUUUUGUUCGCUUCUGUCAAGUAUUGUACGGCUAG